CAGCCGCCGCGGUAAUACCGGCGGCCCGAGUGGUGGCCGCUAUUAUUGGGCCUAAAGCGUCCGUAGCCGGGUUGGGAAGUCCUCCGGGAAAUCUGGCCGCUUAACGGUCAGAAUGCCGGAGGAUACUCCCAGCCUAGGGAGCGGGAGAGGCCGAGGGUAUUCCCGGAGUAGGGGUGAAAUCCUAUAAUCCCGGGAGGACCACCUGUGGCGAAGGCGCUCGGCUGGAACGCGUCCGACGGUGAGGGACGAAGGCCAGGGGAGCAAACCGGAUUAGAUACCCGGGUAGUCCUGGCUGUAAACGAUGCGGACUUUGUGUCGGACAAGCUAUGAGCUUGUCCGGUGCCGGAGGGAAACCGUUAAGUCCGCCGCCUGGGGAGUACGGCCGCAAGGUUGAAACUUAAAGGAAUUGGCGGG
rnacentral:rRNA from 1 species